CCUACGGGAGUCAGCAGUGAGGAAUAUUGGUCAAUGGACGAGAGUCUGAACCAGCCAAGUAGCGUGAAGGAUGACGGCCCUAUGGGUUGUAAACUUCUUUUAUAGGGGAAUAAAAUGGGCCACGUGUGGGAUUUUGUAUGUACCAUAUGAAUAAGGAUCGGCUAACUCCGUGCCAGCAGCAGCGGUAAUACGGAGGAUCCGAGCGUUAUCCGGAUUUAUUGGGUUUAAAGGGAGCGUAGGGGGCUUGUUAAGUCAGUUGUGCAAGUUUGCGGCUCAACCGUAAAAUUGCCGUUGAAACUGGCAGUCUUGCGUACAGUAGAGGUGGGCGUAAUUCGUGGUGUAGCGGU
rnacentral:rRNA from 1 species